rfam:Triticum aestivum genome assembly, contig: Triticum_aestivum_CS42_TGACv1_scaffold_577884_7BL
CAUAUACUCCCUUCCUCCGUAAAUACUUAUCGUAAAAAUGGAUGAAAAUGGAUGUAUCUAAAACUAAAUUGCAUCUAGAUACAUCCAUUCCUCCGACAAGUAUUUUCGGACAGAGGGAGUACAUG